GACGAACGCUGGCGGCGUGCCUAAUACAUGCAAGUCGAACGCAGUGGCGGACGGGUGCGUAACACGUGGGUAACUACCUAUUAGAGGGGGAUAACUAUUGGAAACGCUAGCUAAUACCGCAUACUAGUAGAUUGACCUGCGUUGUAUUAGCUAGUCGGGAGGGUAAUGGCCUACCUAGGCAACGAUACAUAGCCGACCUGAGAGGGGGAUCGGCCAAACGUGGACUGAGACACGGCCCAGACUCCUACGGGAGGCAGCAGUAGGGAAUCGUCGGCAAUGGGGGGAACCCUGACCGAGCAACGCCGCGUGAGUGAAGAAGGUUGUCGGAUCGUAAAGCUCUGUUGUGAAGGAAGCGGUACUUAACCAGAAAGGGACGGCUAACUACGUGCCAGCAGCCGCGGUAAUAC
rnacentral:rRNA from 1 species